CGAACGCUGGCGGCAGGCCUAACACAUGCAAGUCGAGCGCACCCUUCGGGGCGAGCGGCGGACGGGUUAGUAACGCGUGGGAACAUACCCUUUUCUAUGGAAUAGCCUCGGGAAACUGAGAGUAAUACCAUAUACGCCCUUCGGGGGAAAGAUUUAUCGGAGAAGGAUUGGCCCGCGUAAGAUUAGAUAGUUGGUGGGGUAAUGGCCUACCAAGUCUACGAUCUUUAGCUGGUUUUAGAGGAUGAUCAGCAACACUGGGACUGAGACACGGCCCAGACUCCUACGGGAGGCAGCAGUGGGGAAUCUUAGACAAUGGGCGCAAGCCUGAUCUAGCCAUGCCGCGUGUGUGAUGAAGGCCUUAGGGUCGUAAAGCACUUUCGCCAGGGAUGAUAAUGACAGUACCUGGUAAAGAAACCCCGGCUAACUCC
rnacentral:rRNA from 1 species